rnacentral:rRNA from 1 species
CUUCGGGGAACGAUAACGGCGUCGAGCGGCGGACGGGUGAGUAAUGCCUAGGAAAUUGCCCUGAUGUGGGGGAUAACCAUUGGAAACGAUGGCUAAUACCGCAUAAUGCCUACGGGCCAAAGAGGGGGACCUUCGGGCCUCUCGCGUCAGGAUAUGCCUAGGUGGGAUUAGCUAGUUGGUGAGGUAAUGGCUCACCAAGGCGACGAUCCCUAGCUGGUCUGAGAGGAUGAUCAGCCACACUGGAACUGAGACACGGUCCAGACUCCUACGGGAGGCAGCAGUGGGGAAUAUUGCACAAUGGGCGCAAGCCUGAUGCAGCCAUGCCGCGUGUGUGAAGAAGGCCUUCGGGUUGUAAAGCACUUUCAGUCGUGAGGAAGGUNGUGUAGUUAAUAGCUGCAUUAUUUGACGUUAGCGACAGAAGAAGCACCGGCUAACUCCGUGCCAGCAGCCGCGGUAAUACGGAGGGUGCGAGCGUUAAUCGGAAUUACUGGGCGUAAAGCGCAUGCAGGUGGUUUGUUAAGUCAGAUGUGAAAGCCCGGGGCUCAACCUCGGAAUAGCAUUUGAAACUGGCAGACUAGAGU